UCGAUUCUUCAUCACAUUCUAACUGACUCACUGAUGUCACAUGGGCUACUUUGAUGAUGUUUUUAUUACCUUUCUGGACAUGGACAGUAAACCGUAUGUAGAUUUUCAAUGAAGGGUCAACAAGCUCUCGGACUAAAUCUAAAACAUCUUAAACUGUGUUUUGAAGAUGAACGGAGGUCUUACGAGUUUGGAACGACAUGAGGGUGAGUCAUUAAUGACAUUAUUUUUGGGUGAACUAUCCCUUUAACCGAUUGUUGGGUCAAAUAUAAACAUUUUCUGGGUUUAUUUAACCCAAAGGCUUGGCUCGACUCUUUUUGACCCAAUGCUGGGUUGAAAAUAACCCAGAAAUGUUUUUAGACUGUAUGAAAUUGAGACAACCUUGUUUUUAAUAUCAUAAGCGAUAGAGGAACUUUAUCUUUCCAAUUGCAGUUACUUGUACAGGUAAAAAGAGACUUUUGUUUUUAAGUCAUUACGUAAGGAAAACUGUUUUUGGGUCCAAGCCUCCACUCAUUUCAAUAGAGGAUAUCAUUUAAGCAGCCGUUUAUGAGCACUAUUUAUUCAUAUCACACAUUUAAAGGCGGGGUGCACAAUGUUUAAAAGCCAAUGUUGAUAUUUGAAAUCACCUAAACAAAAACGCCCUACGCCAAUAGAAUCUGGACCUUCUUUUUAUAGACCCGCCCCCCACAUACGCAACCCAGGCAACGAUGUCGGUUAGUAGACAUGUGUGCCCCUUACUGCUGAUUGGCUACAAGUGUGCUUUGCUACUUGGCCCGACUUUCCAAAGCAUUUCUCAAAAAUAGUGCACCCCGCCUUUAAUGGUACAUUCACACGGGACAGAAGCGUUAACGCUUGACGGAAGGCUUGUCUGAAGCGUGGCCAACAGCCAAUCACAGUGGCCGCUACACAUGCUCCGGUCUUCCUUAAACGUAAUUGGCUGGCUCUGCCUAGGUUAUUUGCAUAAGACGAUCUGAUUGGCUGACACACGUAUUGCCGCUUGAAAAGUUGAGAAAUGUUCAACUUUGCUGCGAGCAACGGCAGUGACGCGGCGCCGACAGAUCCACAAUUCAGUUCGGGCAGCAUGACGUCACCCAUUAAAAGUGAAUGGGAAGCGUCAACGCUUGCGCCCCGUGUGAAUGUACCGUAAGCGAACAUUGAUAAACUCACAGUGUACACUGCAGUCUCCAAGCUCACAGAAUCACAACAGCAAUAUAUUAAUAAUUCGUAAAAACUCCAAAAGCGUUGGGUAAAGAAGGGACGAAUUUAACCUAUGCUGGUUUGUUUUAACCCAUUGUUGGGUCAAAUGCAAAAAAAUUGGUUAAUUAAACCCAACGGCUUGGUUAGUCUAUUUUUGACCCAAUGCUAAAGUUUUUAGCUGUACUUUUAGCAGUAGUUACAGUCAGCUUUUCAUAAUAAUAUAUUAUGUACGCUGUAAAAAAAUGUAUCCAGAUCUUUACACUCUAAAAAAGGUUGAGUUAAAAAGGGACAAGCCCAGCUGUUGGGUUAAAUUAAAUCUGAAAAUCUUUAUAUUUAACCCAACAAUGGGUUAACCCCUAAAAUUCCAGUUUACUGUGGGAGGGACACUGCAUUCUUUGACUGAAAAUUUUUUAUCAAAUACAACAACUCUAGCUAAACAUGUCACAUAUCUUUGGAAAGCUGAAAAUCUUGCUGUAAACCGUUUUAAGAUACAAUCAACACAGCAGGUAAAAUAUGUGUCCUUUUUACGCCUUUUUUAGCCUUUUUCAGAAAUUCUAAGUGAUAAAAAGAAAACAACCCAGCAUUUUGAGUUGAAACAGGUUAAAUUACAACCCAAAGGCCUGGGCUCGUCCUUUUUUGACCCAACGCUGGGUUGAAAACCCAGCCGUUCCUCUUAAGUGUACAGAAAUAGAAAAUGAUAACUGUAAUGCUGAACUGAGAUCAGACAACAUGAUCAGACGAUAUAGACAUGUCUAUAUCACAUUUCACAGUAGAAAGUUCCCCUUUUGCAUUUAAAAGUCUUUUGCAAUACCCAUUAUUUCGAUUUGCAUUUUUGUUUCAUAGUAAAUUUCUACUGUAUUAUAGUAAAAAUGCUGUAAUUUAAUGAGCAAUUGUUUAUAUUUAAAUCAGCAUAAAAAACAAUAAUGUAAAAUGAGAAUUUGCAGAUGUCCCAAUGCAAAUAAUCCAAAUGGUCCAGAAAACAGGGUUUAUUUACUGUACUUCAAGCAAAAUAUAAUUGCUAGUAUCUUUCCUUUGACUUUGAGGACCACACUGUAUGUGUCAAAAGACACCUGCCAUACCAACUAAUGUAAUCACAAAAGCUUUGAAAACAAACGCACACCCCCUUAAUGCAUUAGAUCAAAUGUAUUUCUGGUGUAAAAAAAUGACGUUGGCUACCUACCUACAUAAGUUGCAUUGAGAGGUUUAUUGCGCAGUAUAGUUUCUUUUAAUUAUUUUUUUUUACUGAUUUUGUACGCUUAUCUAUGCUAUCAUGUUUGAGGAACUGAAAUGUGGAUGUGUCUGAGUGGUGCGGCGACACCAUUACUGUGAACUAUUUAUGAAAAUGAAACCUUUCUGAGUGUUAGUGUAUGUGCGCUUUAAUGUCAAACACAUGAGCAGGCUCAUAAUACACAUCUUCACCUCUACACAGCAAUACACUGUAUGUAAAUACUGUACUGUAUGUCGGUCAUAUAACAGGGUUGCUGAAGUUCAUGGUACUUAAUAGUCAAUUCUUAACCUGAAACAUUUCCACCGUACAAGGCUGCCUGCGAGUUUGCAUGGAUGAUUUUGGAUUGAAUGCUGUUAUUUUAAAGAUAUUUUCCCUGUGGGGCUAAAACUGAUAUGGACGAAACCCAAUGAAUUGUAAAAUAAACUGCAACUAUGUCCUUCUUGGAAGGAAAUGCACACAGUGACAAAGAUUUUGCAUCGGAUGCCAUGUUUAAAUCGGAGAUUAGAGAUGAAAUGUUGGUUGCCUGCAUUGUUUUAUCAUCAUCAUCAAGUGCCUUACGCAGAAUCACUACAGGCAUUGAUUUUCACUUGAUACAUGGGCACAUUACAUAGCUGGCAGCAUGUUUUGUGUUGUUUUAUUAGCACAUAUACUUACUGUAGAUCAGGUGUAUGCAACGUCGAUCCUGGAUGUCCUGCAGAUUUUAGCUCCAAUUUUAGGACAUCGGCACUCCAGGAUCGAAGUUGGUUACCCCUGCUGUAGAUCAUUGGUGUUUGGCAUAUUCGCUUUGCCUUUUAAAGCACUACAAACUCAGAGAUGUUGGAGUUGCCAUGACUGUUUAGGUUUUCCAAAGGAGUGAAGAAGGAUUUUAUGCUAAUUGAUGACCAAAGUUGUCUAUUUACCCGGAAGCGAUUUUCAUGAUGUCACACUGGAUGUUUGUUGUAAAUCAUCCAUCGAUAGACUUGUCGAGUUGUAAUAGAGCCUCAUUUUGGUGAAUAAGCAAUGCUGUUUAACUGCAAUGAUCACGAAUUAGCAGUGGUCCCUCUCUCUCUCCAUCUUUUGUCACCUUUGUAAUCGCUUUCAAGUAUGCAGUAUAAUUUGUUCGAUGUACUGCAGAUUUGCUGUAGUUUCAAUGCAUAUUGCACUUUGUACAUUCUGUUGAAAUGAUGUACUGUAUGUGUUUAUUAUGAAAAUAAACUUUUACAUAUGA